rnacentral:lncRNA from 1 species
AGAAUGUUAAUACGAAUUAAUGAUGUUGUUAUGUUGUAUAUGAACUAUGAAUAUGAUGUUGUUACGUUGUUUAUGUCAUUGAUUAUGAAGUUGUCAUGUUGUAUACGAAUUAUGAGUAUGAUGUUAUAUGAUUAUGAUUAAGAUGUUGAUUAUGAUGUUAAAUGAUGCUGUUAUGAUGUUGUUUAUGAUAUCGAGUUAUGACUGUUGAUAUGAUGAGUACAUGAUAUGGUUUAGGAGUCGUUAAAAGAAUUAUUAUUACUAAUUGAUG